GCUUUAGUGCAUACAAAUUUAUCUUGAAAACACUUACUAGCCUUUUUGUUGUCAAGAAUAAACCUAGUGAAUCCUUGUAUGAUUACAUCAAGCAUUUUAAUACUAUGACCAUGAACACCAAGGAUUUUGACAGUUCAAUGGGUUGUGGAUAUUUCAUAGUAGGAGCGAGUUGUGAGCAUUUAAAAUAUGUUGUCAUGGAAAAU
rnacentral:lncRNA from 1 species